CACCCCAUCUCUCCUAUCUCUCUCACCCACGACACAGGCGCCACCAUCCUCGUGGCGCGGUCAGAUGAGGAACAGACGAGGCGCGCGAGGGGAUAUAUGGCGGACGCGCUCAAGCCGAGGCGCCACGAGGGGAUCCAGCGUGAAGGGAUAGACGAGCGGACCCAUCCCAAGUAGUUCCGUUGACCUCUCGUUGCUGGCGACCUCAACCUUAGGCAGAUCCUAGGUCCGCCGCCGCCACCGGCUCACAGGCCCGCCGCCGUGAUGGUGUCCGAGGCUCUCCCAACCCCGCCCCUUUUUUCAUUCGGCAUUGGUGUGGUCUGCUCCACCGUGCCGGAAGAGGACCAGACGCCUUCCACGCGGUGGUCGAGCCCGUGGAGUCGUUGAAGCACGCAACAUCCUUGAUGAAAUAGUUGCCUGCUCUUAUUUUUUUUCUCCAAGUUGCCUGCUCUUAUUUUUUUUCUCCAUUAGAGAUGAUACAUGAGAUGUGACCCCGCAUUGAUUUUUUUUAUCGAUCAGGUGAAUGCUUUGUACAAUCUGACAGAAAAAAUCGAGCUAUACCCUCUCUGCCUUCCAUUGAGACCUCCCGACAUUUGUCAGCCAUGUUCGCUGCUUAGUUCUGUGGGUUGUUGUGCUUGUUUGUUUGGAAUUUCUAUAUUGGAAUAGGAAUUGCUUGCAACAUGUGUCUGACACACAACUGCGAUCAUGGCUGCUAGAGCGGGCUUAUGUUUGAUGUACAAUAUCCAAGAGGCACGUGAGCUGCAAGAGUUCACAUUCAUAUUUAACGAGAGACAAAUGCUGCUAUGAACAUAAGUGUUGGUGAUUUCUGUACAUGCAUUGAACCAACUAAAGUUGACAUUGAUUUUGUAGCUUCUUCCUUGGGCGCAAGAAUUGCGAAUAUCAAAUGCACCAACGGUUGAAGGAGCCCAUCCAUCCACUGAGAGCAUUGCAACUUUCGACAUGCCAUUGAUUAAUCUAUCUGUUUAGUCGCAUCAGAUACACCAUCCUUUAAUUAUAUUGUCGAUGUCACUGACAUAUAUGUAACUAAGAGAAAAUAGGACUUUGUAUGGAUGUCAGACUAUUAUUAUUUUGAGGUGUUUCACUCUGAAGCUUUGUCGAGAUUAGUAUAUAGUGAUCAAUUUCAUGA